rnacentral:rRNA from 1 species
GAUGAACGCUGGCGGCGUGCCUAAUACAUGCAAGUCGAGCGAACGGACGAGAAGCUUGUUUCUCUGAUGUUAGCGGCGGACGGGUGAGUAACACGUGGAUAACCUACCUAUAAGCCUGGGAUAACUUCGGGAAACCGGAGCUAAUACCGGAUCAUAUUUUGAACCGCAUGGUUCAAAAGUGAAAGACGGUCUUGCUGUCACUUAUAGAUGGAUCCGAGCUGCAUUAGCUAGUUGGUAAGGUAACGGCUUACCAAGGCAACGAUGCAUAGCCGACCUGAGAGGGUGAUCAGCCACGCUGGAACUGAGUCACGGUCCAGACUCCUACGGGAGGCAGCAGUCGGGAAUCUUCCGCAAUGGGCGAAAGCCUGACGGAGCAACGCCGCGUGAGUGAUGAAGAGCUUCUGAUCGUAAAACGCUGUUAUUAGGGAAGAACAUAUGUGUAAGUAACUGUGCACAUCUUGACGGUACCUGAUCAGAAAGCCACGGCUAACUACGUG